rnacentral:rRNA from 1 species
UAGGGAAUCUUCGGCAAUGGACGAAAGUCUGACCGAGCAACGCCGCGUGAGUGAAGAAGGUUUUCGGAUCGUAAAACUCUGUUGUUAGAGAAGAACAAGGACGUUAGUAACUGAACGUCCCCUGACGGUAUCUAACCAGAAAGCCACGGCUAACUACGUGCCAGCAGCCGCGGUAAUACGUAGGUGGCAAGCGUUGUCCGGAUUUAUUGGGCGUAAAGCUAGCGCAGGCGGUUUCUUAAGUCUGAUGUGAAAGCCCCCGGCUCAACCGGGGAGAGUCAUUGGAAACUGGGAGACUUGAGUGCAGAAGAGGAGAGUGGAAUUCGAUGUGUAGCGGUGAAAUGCGUAGAUAUAUGGAGGAACACCAGUGGGGAAGACGGCUCUCUGGUCUGAAACUGACGCUGAGGCUAGAAAGCGUGGGGAGCAAACAGG